AUUGAACGCUGGCGGCAGGCCUAACACAUGCAAGUCGAACGGUAACAGGAAGAAGCUUGCUUCUUUGCUUACGAGUGGCGGACGGGUGAGUAAUGUCUGGGAAACUGCCUGAUGGAGGGGGAUAACUACUGGAAACGGUAGCUAAUACCGCAUAACUUCGCAAGCCCAAAAAGGGGGACCUUCGGGCCUCUUGCCAUCGGCUGUGCCCAGAUGGGAUUAGCUAGUAGGUGGGGUAACGGCUCACCUAGGCGACGAUCCCUAGCUGGUCUGAGAGGAUGACCAGCCACACUGGAACUGAGACACGGUCCAGACUCCUACGGGAGGCAGCAGUGGGGAAUAUUGCACAAUGGGCGCAAGCCUGAUGCAGCCAUGCCGCGUGUAUGAAGAAGGCCUUCGGGUUGUAAAGUACUUUCAGCGGGGAGGAAGGGAGUAAAGUUAAUACCUUUGCUCAUUGACGUUACCCGCAGAAGAAGCACCGGCUAACUCCGUG
rnacentral:rRNA from 1 species